rnacentral:rRNA from 1 species
GGGACACGUGGUAUCCUGUCUGAAUAUGGGGGGACCAUCCUCCAAGGCUAAAUACUCCUGACUGACCGAUAGUGAACCAGUACCGUGAGGGAAAGGCGAAAAGAACCCCGGCGAGGGGAGUGAAAAAGAACCUGAAACCGUGUACGUACAAGCAGUGGGAGCACGCUUAGGCGUGUGACUGCGUACCUUUUGUAUAAUGGGUCAGCGACUUAUAUUCUGUAGCAAGGUUAACCGAAUAGGGGAGCCGAAGGGAAACCGAGUCUUAACUGGGCGUUAAGUUGCAGGGUAUAGACCCGAAACCCGGUGAUCUAGCCAUGGGCAGGUUGAAGGUUGGGUAACACUAACUGGAGGACCGAACCGACUAAUGUUGAAAAAUUAGCGGAUGACUUGUGGCUGGGGGUGAAAGGCCAAUCAAACCGGGAGAUAGCUGGUUCUCCCCGAAAGCUAUUUAGGUAGCGCCUCGUGAAUUCAUCUCCGGGGGUAGAGCACUGUUUCGGCAAGGGGGUCAUCCCGACUUACCAACCCGAUGCAAACUGCGAAUACCGGAGAAUGUUAUCACGGGAGACACACGGCGGGUGCUAACGUCCGUCGUGAAGAGGGAAACAACCCAGACCGCCAGCUAAGGUCCCAAAGUCAUGGUUAAGUGGGAAACGAUGUGGGAAGGCCCAGACAGCCAGGAUGUUGGCUUAGAAGCAGCCAUCAUUUAAAGAAAGCGUAAUAGCUCACUGGUCGAGUCGGCCUGCGCGGAAGAUGUAACGGGGCUAAACCAUGCACCGAAGCUGCGGCAGCGACGCUUAUGCGUUGUUGGGUAGGGGAGCGUUCUGUAAGCCUGCGAAGGUGUGCUGUGAGGCAUGCUGGAGGUAUCAGAAGUGCGAAUGCUGACAUAAGUAACGAUAAAGCGGGUGAAAAGCCCGCUCGCCGGAAGACCAAGGGUUCCUGUCCAACGUUAAUCGGGGCAGGGUGAGUCGACCCCUAAGGCGAGGCCGAAAGGCGUAGUCGAUGGGAAACAGGUUAAUAUUCCUGUACUUGGUGUUACUGCGAAGGGGGGACGGAGAAGGCUAUGUUGGCCGGGCGACGGUUGUCCCGGUUUAAGCGUGUAGGCUGGUUUUCCAGGCAAAUCCGGAAAAUCAAGGCUGAGGCGUGAUGACGAGGCACUACGGUGCUGAAGCAACAAAUGCCCUGCUUCCAGGAAAAGCCUCUAAGCAUCAGGUAACAUCAAAUCGUACCCCAAACCGACACAGGUGGUCAGGUAGAGAAUACCAAGGCGCUUGAGAGAACUCGGGUGAAGGAACUAGGCAAAAUGGUGCCGUAACUUCGGGAGAAGGCACGCUGAUAUGU